AGAUAAUCUGGUUAAAUUAGGCAAUCGUGCAAUCAUUGUGUUUUAUUACCAUCAUCAGGCAGGAUUUAGUUGGCUUUCGUAUCCUGGAUCUUACAGUCCACAACAAAUCGGGGAGAAACGAAGGUGGUUCGAAUCAGGACUAUGUGUCCGAUGAGAUUGCCUUCUCGUGCACCUCAUGGAGCUCGAAUCCGGUCACUUGUCGGUUCAAUUGGUGCCAGGAAUGGUCUUUUUCUCGGCUUUGGAAGGUGGGGCGGUAUUGAUGGCGAGGCUCGAGUACAGUGGCAGGGGAACAUUGGAUAUAGAUUUGGCUCUGGAUGGAUAUGGACUGCCUCUCAGGCGCCCCUUUCAUACAUCAGUUCGUGGAGCGGGGGUAUUUUAUGCAAAGGUGGCUGACUCUUCCCAGGUCGUCCUUGGGGUGCCUUUUGCGUGUGAGGCUUCCAUCAUCCGGGUCGUCAGCAAAGGCAAGGUUGUGGUGUUGGAUUCCUGCAGCAGGGAAAAACAGCUUAACCAGGCUCUCUCGUUGCUGCUGUUGUUGUUGCUGCUUACUGUCUGCACCGAUUGUGAAGGCCUUUCCAUGUGAUCGAUCAAAUCCACCAUAAGUACUUGGUGGGAUUUGGUAUUGGUUAUGGGCGGCUUCUCCGCUGGCAGCUGUUUGGACAAGUCAGAGCACAUCUCAGGCAGAGGAACUAUGUCCUAGGCGUCUAUAAAGCUAGAGAAGAGGCGCUCCAACCGAGAUCCAACGCUACUGAUACUGGUGUGUAAAAGAGCAUCGCGCAGGCAGAGGUAGCUAUGCUAAGUUGACCACUUGGUAAUGGUAUCAUCAAGGCAGACAGAACAGGCACAGAGCCGAUGUGGCAGUGCAGUCCCGUGGAGUUUCAACCCUCCGUAUCCAUCCACGUGCAUUGCGCACAGGGGACGUGUACCUUGUGAGUCCACGAAAAGGAAUACUUACGCAGGAGCAGCAGCAGCAGCAACGGUGUGUCUGUGGUGGGGGUGGUGGUGAUAUCGGCUGUCGUAAUGAGGCUUUGAAAGGCUUCAUACUCCUGCCUAGGCCAGAUCAUCUCUCUAUCUCCAAUUCUAGCUAUAGCACUAGGGGUACCUUUGGGAAUCUGGGAAUUUGGGAGUGCCAGGGGCCAGCCAGAGGAGGGAGAGAGGGAGGGAGGGAGGGAGGAAAGGAAUAUAAACAGCAUAUAGAUAGAUAGAAUAGCAGGAAGUAAGCAGGGACUUGAAGGGAGAGCUCUCCCUCUCUCUCUUUGCAUCUCGGAGGGGAAAAGUAACAGCAGCAGCAGCAGGAUAGCAGCAGCAGCAUUACAGGAAGUCGUCACUCGUGGGUUUUAUGGCAGAUAAGUUGCUGCUGGAAUUAUGAUUCUGCCUUCCAAGGCACUCAUUGCGGUGUUGUCUCUCGGGAAGCUAAAGUCAGCGAACUCGGUGACUUGUGGUGGUACUGGUGGUGGUACCUCGGGUGUGCAAUUAUCUUCGGGCCUGACGGGUUGAGAAAGACAAAAGCGUCACCGCCAAGCAGGGAGCGCCACCUACACAGACACAGUGCCUCGGAGUUUGGAACCUUUUCUCUUUACUUUCAUGGAAGAAGCGCUUGAUCGAGAGAGCGAGAUUCGAGAGACAACGGAGAAAGAAAAGCAUCGUUGGAAGAUGGAGGAGAAUCCGGCCUGCCUCAGCUGGAGCCACAUUCACUCGGGAGAUAAGUGUGGCUUUUGGUUUUUUCUUUUUUGUUCUUCCCGAAUUUGACAGCCAGGAACCAGUCCGUGCUCCGUGACAAUGCGAUGGGAUGCGAUGUGAUCCUUCGCUACUGAACCCAUUGAGAAAGAGGCACGAAUUUUUUGAUAGCGUUCUUUCUUUCGCAAGGUACCAGCUUGUUGGUGCUAUUCUUUUUAAGCGUCGUUAUAUCGUGAAAGCAAAAGUUAAUUCUUUCACACUGUGACGUUGUCGCCCGCGAAGAGAGAAAUAAAAGAAACGCGAAUCCAACAAAGAUUCUUUAGUCA